rnacentral:rRNA from 1 species
AUGUCUAAGAACUUGCCUCAAAACGGUGAAUCUGCGAACGGCUCAUUAAAAUAGUUAUAAUCUACUCGAUCUUGACGUUUUAUACGGAUAUCUGCGAUAAUUUUGGAGCUAAUACGUGCACCAAUGCGUAAAUCUCUGAUUUGCGAGCACUUAUUAGAUGAAGACCAAUCGUGGCAACACGAAGUGGUGACUCUGAAUAAUUUCGCUGAUCGUAUGGUCUUGUACCGACGACGUCUCGUUCGAGUACCUAACCUAUUAACUUUCGAUGGUAGUUUAAGUGACUACCAUGGUUGUUAUGGGUAACGGAGAAUAAGGGUUCGACUCCGGAGAGGGAGCCUGAGAAACGGCUACCACAUCCAAGGAAGGCAGCAGGCGCGUAAAUUACCCACUCUCAAUGCGAGGAGGUAGUGACUAUCAAUAACGAGGCAGAUCUCUAUGAGGCCUGCUAUCGGAAUGGGUUAAAUUUAAACCCCUUUACGAGGAUCUAUGAGAGGGCAAGUCUGGUGCCAGCAGCCGCGGUAAUUCCAGCUCUCAAAGUGUAUAUCGUCAUUGCUGCGGUUAAAAAGCUCGUAGUUGGAUCUGAGUUUCUGGUCGUGGUGCUCCUUGUGAGUGACUGCUGAUCGUGACUAUUUUGCUGGUUUGUCUCAGUUUUCCUUAAUUGGUUUGCUGGGGUGGCUGGCUGAUUACCUUGAAUAAAUCAAAGUGUUCAUCACAGGCGUUUCGCUUGAAUGUUCGUGCAUGGAAUAAUGGAAUAAGACUUCGGUUCGUUCUGUUGGUCUUGGAAUCGGUGUAAUGGUUAAGAGGGACUGACGGGGGCAUCCGUAUCGCUGCGUGAGA